UCAAUCUCGUGCGGCUAUAUAUACCGCCGGUCCCUCUAAGAAGAUUUUCAUUUUACGCCGGUAGUGAAAGCACCGCACCCGUCGCCGCCCUACGCGCNNNCCGAAGCACGCACGCGUUUCGAGCUAAACGCACAGGCGCAGACCCUCGUGAUACCGGUUGUGCGUCUAUUUAAUAGGCUAGAGUUACGUUCGUUAC
rnacentral:rRNA from 1 species